CGGAGCGUAGCGCAGAGGUAGCGUGCAUCGUUCGGGACGAUGAGGUCGCGGGUUCGAUCCCCGCCGCUCCGA
rnacentral:tRNA from 1 species